UUUAGCCCAGAUUGAAAUGGCAUCCUUUUUUGAGGGACGAAAAAAAGAUAUAAUGAAAAGCUGGAAAUAG
rnacentral:sRNA from 1 species